UACGUAGGGUGCGAGCGUUAAUCGGAAUUACUGGGCGUAAAGCGUGCGCAGGCGGUGAUGUAAGACAGAUGUGAAAUCCCCGGGCUCAACCUGGGAACUGCAUUGUGACUGCAUCGCUGGAGUGCGGCAGAGGGGGAUGGAAUUCCGCGUGUAGCAGUGAAAUGCGUAGAUAUGCGGAGGAACACCGAUGGCGAAGGCAAUCCCUGGGCCUGCACUGACGCUCAUGCACGAA
rnacentral:rRNA from 1 species